AUGUCUAAACACCCCUAUACUUUAGUCCAUUGUUCCAUCAGAUGUUUGGACACUUAUUAUAAAUAUUAAAUAAUAGACUAUUAAUAAAACUCAUCCAUAAUUUUGGACUAAGAGGUUGUUUAGGGGUUGUUUAGAUGGGGCUAAACUUUUUAGCCCCAUGUCACAUCGGAUGUUUGGACACUAAUUUAAAGUAUUAGACAUGGACUAAUAAAAAACUAAUUUCAUAAAUGAGUGGUAAUCCACGAGACGAUUUUUUAAGCCUAAUUAAUCCAUAAUUAGAGCAUAUU
rnacentral:lncRNA from 1 species